GUAUUUGUCAUGACAGGAAGCCUUGAACUGCAGCCUUGUGUGGCCUCUCUAGCAACCUAGGUUUGAUGGGGAGUGUGAUGAGGGUUUCAGCAGGGCAGCCUGGAUAACCCAAGCCAGGCGGAGACAAAGGAGCAUCUGCCUCAGACGAAAAUCUCAGAAGCUGUGGGGAUGGCUGUCUGCCCGGAAGCCUGCCCCCUCUCGCUCAGCACAGCUAGCUUCCCCUGCCCUGCAGGAAGCUGGACAAGAUGGUGGAAAGCCUGAGUUAGCUGAGCUAGUCCUGGAGUACAGGGUGCCUAUGGGAGCCUAUAGGACGAUGACAUCAGAACAGUGACAUCACAGUAAAAACCUCCAAAAACGGUAAGGAGGAGCAAAAGCCCUGCUUUCUCACCCCAGGAGACCAGCACCCUGAGCAGGGAGAUGCUUAGUCCUGACCUGCCUGACUCUGCCUGGAACACCAGGCUCCUCUGCCAUGUCAUGCUUUGUCUCCUGGGAGCAGGUUCAGUGGCUGCUGGAGUCAUCCAGUCCCCAAGACACCUGAUCAAAGAAAAGAGGGAAACAGCCACUCUGAAAUGCUAUCCUAUCCCUAGACACGACACUGUCUACUGGUACCAGCAGGGUCCAGGUCAGGACCCCCAGUUCCUCAUUUCGUUUUAUGAAAAGAUGCAGAGCGAUAAAGGAAGCAUCCCUGAUCGAUUCUCAGCUCAACAGUUCAGUGACUAUCAUUCUGAACUGAACAUGAGCUCCUUGGAGCUGGGGGACUCAGCCCUGUACUUCUGUGCCAGCAGCUUAGGCACAGCCCUGGAGAAUUACUGGCUUUCUGUACCCAAACCCUCCUAUCUCACUUGGGGAUGUAAUAGGGAGAAGGAGGUGGGGGCUGCCACACAGAUUUAGCUAAGCCCCAGAGAUACUUCUAUUCUUUUCUAACAUUUUCCCCUGCCCUGCUGAGCUCAGUGAGAGCUCCUGCACUUGUGGGCUCCAGACCCACUGGAAGUUCUCACAUCUUAGCCAGUACUUUUUAAUUCCUAGCAAGUGGCGGGAGCUCCUACUCUGUGCCAACAUAUGGGUAUAUGUUUUAGUGUGUUUCCUGUUGCCAUACAGAAUACCUGAGACUGGGUAUUUUAUAAAGAAAUGAAAUUUGUUUCUUACAGCUCUGGAGGUUGGGAAGCCCAAGGUCAAGGACCCACAUCUAGUGAGGACCUUCUUGCUGGUGAGGACUCUGCAGAGUCCCCAGGUGGCACAGGGCAUUACAUAUGAGGGGGCUCAUGAAAGAUGGUCAAACUGGCUUUUAUAACAGACCCAAUCUCAUAACUAACUAAUUCCUUCUAUAACCCAUAAAUCCAUGAAUGGAUUAACUUUUACGAGGGCAGAGUCCUUAAGACGCAGUCACCUUCCAAAGGUCCUACCUCUCAACACUGCUGCAUUGGGAACCAAGUUUUCAAUAUAUAAAUUAUUUAGGAACACAGUCAAAUCAUAGCCGUACACAUUGCGGGUUUUUUUUUUUUUCUUUUUUGAGACAGGGUCUCACUCUGUCACCCAGGCUGGAGUGCAGUGGUGUUGUGAUCAUGGCUCAUUGCAACCUUGAGCGCCUGGGUUCAAGCAAUCCUCCCGCCUCAGCUGCCUGAGUAGCUAUGACUACAGGGACACAUCACUACAAGGUGUGUCCCCAGUUCCUCAGUUCCUACAAGGUGAUGUGUCCCCCUGCCUGGCUAAUUUUUUUUAAUUUUUAUUUUUGUAGAGAUGAGGCCUUGUCAUGUUGUCCAGAUUAGUCUCAAACUCCUCAAAUGAUCCUCCUGAGUUCAUGUAUUUUAAUGCAAAGAUAGACAUUAGCAUAUCCACUUUAUAAAUGUAGAAGACUUCAGUGUACCAUUUUAUAGAUAGGAAGCUGUAGCUCAUGAACUUCUCCAGUAUUUCAUAUUUCCGAGGAUCAAAGGCAGGAUCCAAACCUAUGACUCCAUGCCUCCAAAAUAAAAUUUCUAAAAUUCUAUAGUGUUUCCUGGGCCUUGGUCAAUGAGCUACAGCAGAGCACUAUUCUUCCAUCUCAAGACUAGCCAAGCAGUAGAAGAAGGUCACUUAUUACGGAAUGUGGUUACUAUGGCUUAUGGCCUGCCAACCUCCAGGACAUGUAACUUCCGGCCGGAGAAUAUUUGUCCUGUUUUAGUUCCAUAAAGAAUGGGGCCACAAUAUGUCCUAAUAUAGACAUAUAGUGACAGGGGCAUUUCUAAUACAUCAGAGGGUUCAGUCAAGGAAACAGAAUCCUCUAGGAAUUCCAGGGAGAAUAGGAGUUAAUACAGGGAAUUAGUGGUUAUAAACCACUGGAAGGCUGAGAAGUGGGAGGUUCUCAGAAGGUUGAAGCUUGCACUCAGGCCCUCCACUAGUGAUCACAAAGGCUGAAGUUGCUACUUUUGCCCAGGUCAGGGACUACUGGAAAUAGCUGAGAGUCAUAGUGGUCUUGCAGUGACCAAGAGGGUGAUUCACAGGAAAGUAUCCAGCGGUCGUUGCAAAUCCACCUGUCUGUUGCUGUCAGAUAAAAGUCUUUAUUCUGCUUCUAACUUUUCCACAAGUAUAGCUUACUGGGGGAAGCAAAACUGUUUUCAGAAACUUGCUCUCAGGAGAAUCUAGGAAAUGUCUUUUUUUUUUUUUUUUGAGAUGGAGUCUCGCUCAGUCACCCAGGCUGGAGUGCAGUGGCGCGAUCUCGGCUCACUGCAAGCUCCACCUCCUGGGUUCACGCCAUUCUCCUGCCUCAGCCUCCCUAGUAGCUGGGACUACAGGCACCCGCCACUACGCCCGGCUAAUUGUUCUGUAUUUGUAGUAGAGACGGGGUUUCACCAUGUUAGCCAGGAUGGUCUCAAUCUCCUGACCUCGCGAUCCACCCAUCUCAGCCUCCCAAAGUGCUGGGAUUACAGGCGUGGGCCACUGUGCCCGGCCUGGGAAAUGUACUUUCAAGUCUUCUAGCUCUUGCAAUAAGAGAGAGAGAGAGAGAUUGUUGGAGGACAUUUAGGGGUACUCAGUGCCAAAAGACAAUCAUCAGCACACCCAGCUAUGCAGCAGAGAAAUGGAAAGCAGGAGAAUAAAUUUUAUAUUUUCUGUC